CGCUGGGUCUGCAGAUGCCAUCCAGGCGCACGGCGGGUAUAGUGGUUCCGCAACCUUGGGAUGUUCGGCCGAGCGCCUGCCUAACAUGGGAGCGCCUGCCUAACCCUCCUGACUGGAGGGUCAGCGGCGGGGAGUCCUGGCCUUCAAUCGGCCAUCGCCACGGCAGAAACUGGGGCCCGGGCCUUCCCCGUCCGUCCACAGGUCUCAUGGGCGCCCGGACUGGGGCUGAUGUAGUUUCCCGACCUCUGACACAUAGAAUCUGGAGAUUAAAGCUGCUCUGCUAAUAAUUAGGUUCCCACCUCUCAAGAUCAUUAGGAGCUUCUUUUCCAAUUUCUCUGUUUUGCAUGCAUUGGAAGGAUCUGGAGCUCAGGACCCACUACCUCCCCGGCCCACUGCAAGCUUGAACAUUUGAUGGUGGACACCCCUCCCUGACUUUGUAUUAUGGUCCAGAUUUUGGAUGAAUCUCUAUAAUGGAGAUUGAACAGUGUCACUGGCGUGGGGGUUACCUUCCCACUAUGUCCCCCAGAAGACAUGAGGCCACAGACUGCAGUGCCCGUGGACAGAGGAGCUGUGGGGAUGGAAGUGUGAUUGCUUCAUUCAAAUGCACGCCCCGGUGCGUGUGCGUCUCUUCUGAUGCAGCGCCCCAUGGAUACCCCAUCAGCCUGAGUCUCUUAAAGGCCUUUAUACACACAUGUCUACACAUAGGGAUUUGGAUUAUCUCGGGAUCCCACAUCCUCGCUGUCCCCUGUCCCCCCGCAACAUCCCCCACCAAUACCUUUCUGAAGUUUUCUAGUCCCUCCUUUUUGUUUGUGCUCCUUAAAGCCCAGCCCCAUGCCUGACUUUGGUUCCCAGUGAGCAUUGUACAUUUGUGGAUAUUAAAUCUUUGGCAAAGUCAUU
rnacentral:lncRNA from 1 species